UACUGGGUUCAUCUCACUGGGGAGUGCCAGACGAUCGGUGCUGGUCAGCUGCUGCAGCCCGAUCCUCUGGCACUCCCCAGUGAGAUGAACCCAGUA
rnacentral:pre_miRNA from 1 species